GCCGUUCUACCCGGUUGUGGGUCGGUCCAAGCUCGCAGGUGCGCUCCGUCGGUCGUCCAAGCUCGCAGGUGCGCUCGCUCGUCUCUGCGUUGUGUGAGCUGGUGAGACAAGAGAGGGGUGCUGCGGUUGGGAUUAGGGAUUCGAUCGCGACGGUCGCCGCCGCCGCCGACCGGUCCAGAGGUCCUCACCCGCCCCGUCCGCUGCCGCUCACUGCCGCCCCGUCGGUCACCGUCCCGUCCGUUGCCGCCGCGUCAGCCCCCGCGAUCUCCCGCCGCCGUGGCGCCGUCGUUCGCCGCAGAGGUCGGUCCCGGAUCCGCGGAUCGUCGUCGUUGUCGUCAGGCCGGUAGGCCGGCAGGCCGGUGAAGACUCAGGCCGGCCGCGUCAGUGCCGGUCUAACGGACUUCUACCUUUCCUUCUCUUCCGUCAUCCUUUAGGUUUCCUUUCCCCUCCUCCCGACGUUUCUACGUCUCUCUCUCCUCCUUCUCCCCGGUACUUCGGUCAGUACCACUGUGAACACUUCUUGCGUAAUAUCUCGCUUUCUUCUGCUUCUCCCUGGUUCUUCGAUCAGCGUUGAGUAACCAAAGUUCAUAAUAAAGAUUUUUUUACGUCUAUAAAACCGACGGCUGUCUCUUCUCGUCCUCCCUGAUAAACUACAGUUGUCAAUGAGGAGCGGUUUCUGCGUACUAUCUCGCUUACCACGUUGAGUUGUUCUGGACCCUGUUCGAGUUACUUCUAAUAGACCUUGCUAAACCUACAGGACUAUGUGGACAAAGUUUAGCCUCAAAACAUCUCUUCGGUAAACCAAUACGCCGAAGACUACUAAGCAACAACUGAAGGUCACAACAGAGUGAACGAAAUAUACUACCUCUAUUCUACAAUAAACGUACAAGCCCGCAUCGAAAUCCCGCAUUCCCUUCCCGCAUAGGUCAUCAUAGUUCUAAACACUGAAGUUUUGCAAACCAAUGUCUUAAACUCUUUUUGUCUUUGUCUCGACUAUUAAACUCCUAAUUACACGCGGAAGUACUGUUUCUUUCAAAGCUACCCAAGAACCCUGAUAUACUAUCAGUAUAACGAUAACAGUGCAGGAAAACCAAGCGUUUACAUGGAGGACAUCUAGACGUAAGGGUAUAACCAACCGUCUUACUAGAUCAUCGAAUACCCGCUCGGAAGUCGAGCCCAUAAAACUACCGGUGAAGAUUACGGGGUUGUGUCGACGAUCCACGUCUAGUAGACUAGUUCGUACUAGACUAGGGAAAGGGAACAGGACAGUGUCUCCGACCUGAACCUCCCGGUCAAUAAUUACUUCGACCCCUACAACACCCUAACUCGUAAUUCCAACUACAGCUGCUCCUCUGAUGGAUAAAGGAUGUGGCACACCGCGAAGAACGUGCGAACCUUAUAAACCUCUUCAAUUACGGUUUGAGAUGGUUGAAGGCACUUAUAUGGAACGGACUACCACAUUUGUCGUAUCAGGGUAGUCCCAAAUACCGUGUACAAUUGAUAAAUUUUAGUACGCCUAUAGGAGUCGGUGGUGGUGAACACGAGCUUCAAUUACCCUCUAACGAAUUAUGUAAACUUCUCCUAAAACCAGUUAAUAUACCAAUACUCCUGACACUAUCGUUAAAGAUACUAGCAUCGAGACUCCUCGUCCAGACCCUAUUUGAAGCUUUUUUUCAACAAUGUUUAUAAACGGCCGCACAACAGAGUGAAAGAAGUAUGCUGCCUCUACACUCUAGAAAAAGUACAUGUCCGGAUGAAUAUUUCACCGUAUUUUGACCAUGCGGACAAUAAGACUGAAGCCGGUCAAACCAAUCUUCAGCCCAACUACUUUUACUCUAACUACUCUUUGACUUCUAAUUCCAUGAAGAGGGUGGCUUUGUCCAGCAACUACCCUGUGACCUUGACAUGGUAAGUCUAAUAUUGUAACGACAGUAGUCAGAAGUCUUCGGAGAUAUACCAUAAGCCGGUCUCAUAUAAAAGGCGUGCCGCUUUUCCGGAGGUUCUCAUCAUCGAUAUCCCGCACCCCGAGUCCUACCUAAUAACUACCCCUGUUAACCAUUUCGCCAGUUCUUCGAGCGUCCGCUGUUUGAAGGAACGCUUCUGGAAUUCGAAAGAUGAACAUUUUAGUGCUUCCAACCCUAACCUCCCGGUGAACAAUUAUAACAAUUACCUAACAAACGACCGUACUUGAAGAUACCACUUUGACUACAUUGAGGAAUGGACGGCUCCCGUUAGUAACACCUUCAAAAUUCGCCCUGACUAGAGGGUAGAGUAUUUCCUUACCUGGUACGGUGACUGUAUUACCCACGGCGUUGUCAAUUCUUUUUGUCCACCGCCCACGGAUUCGGUAUAACCAUGGUAGGGGAUAAACUUCUAGCAGCAGGAGAUGUAAAAAUACCUUCCGUUGAGGUCAUUAGGAUAGAUGGCGACGCGGUCAAGGUGACGGAUCGUUCAUAAAAUAGCACCAUGAAACAUCUAAAUAGUGUAAUAAUCCCACAAGAUUACCAAGACGUAUUUUGAAAUAUAAUUCGUAAUCUUGCCGAGACGUCUUCAACUUCGACGUCUGUGAUUAGACCUGACAACAGUGGAACUGAAACAAACUGUAGCUGAAAAUCAACAAUAAUAGUGCGUACACCAGUAAUGGGUGGAAGUCG
rnacentral:rRNA from 1 species